rnacentral:rRNA from 1 species
UACGUAGGGUGCAAGCGUUAAUCGGAAUUACUGGGCGUAAAGCGUGCGCAGGCGGUUCGCUAAGACAGAUGUGAAAUCCCCGGGCCUAACCUGGGAACUGCAUUUGUGACUGGCGGGCUAGAGUAUGGCAGAGGGGGGUAGAAUUCCACGUGUAGCAGUGAAAUGCGUAGAGAUGCGGAGGAACACCGAUGGCGAAGGCAGCCCCCUGGGUUGACACUGACGCUCAGGCACGAAAGCGUGGGGAGCAAACAGG